AAUGAGGGUUUUAAUGGCCGCAGUAUUUUGACUGUGCAAAGGUAGCAUAAUCAUUAGUUUCUUAAUUAGGAGCUGGAAUGAAUGGUUUGAUGAGAAAUUAACUGUCUCUGAUUAAUUUUAUUAGAAUUUGAAUUUUAAGUGAGAAUGCUUAAAUUUUCUAGAAAGACGAGAAGACCCUAUAGAGUUUGAUUAUUUUUUUUAUUAAGGUUUAUUUAGGAUUAGGAUUUAUUUAAUAAUUAAUAUAAUUUUGUUGGGGUGACGGAAAAAUUUAUUUAACUUUUUAAUUUUUUUACACUAAUUAGUGAUUGGUUGAUCCUGUUAAUAUGGAUUAAAAGAUUUAAUUACCUUAGGGAUAACAGCGUAAUUUUUUUUGAAAGUUCACAUUUAUAAAAAAGUUUGCGACCUCGAUGUUGGAUUAAAAUUAAUUUUAGGUGUAGCAGCUGAAAUGAUUA
rnacentral:rRNA from 1 species